rnacentral:rRNA from 1 species
UACGUAGGGAGCAAGCGUUGUUCGGAUUUACUGGGCGUAAAGGGCGCGUAGGCGGCGCGACAAGUCACUUGUGAAAUCUCCGGGCUUAACUCGGAACGGUCAAGUGAAACUGUCAUGCUAGAGUGCAGAAGGGGCAAUCGGAAUUCUUGGUGUAGCGGUGAAAUGCGUAGAUAUCAAGAGGAACACCUGAGGUGAAGACGGGUUGCUGGGCUGAUACUGACGCUGAAGCGCGAAAGCUAGGGUAGCAAACGGG